rnacentral:rRNA from 1 species
CUACGGGAGGCUGCAGUGAGGAAUUUUGCGCAAUGGGGGAAACCCUGACGCAGCAACGCCGCGUGAGCGAAGAAGGCCCUCGGGUCGUAAAGCUCUGUCAAGUGGGAAAAAAAUUUUUUGAUCAAUAGUCAAAAGACUUGAUGGUACCACUGGAGGAAGCACCGGCUAACUCCGUGCCAGCAGCCGCGGUAAUACGGAGGGUGCGAGCGUUGUUCGGAUUUACUGGGCGUAAAGAGCGUGUAGACGGUUUAGCAAGUCAGAUGUGAAAGCCCUGGGCUCAACCCGGGAAGUGCAUUUGAAACUGCUUCACUAGAGUAUGGGAGAGGAGAUUGGAAUUCCUGGUGUAGAGGUGAAAUUCGUAGAUAUCAGGAGGAACACCCGUGGCGAAGGCGAUUCUCUGGACCAAUACUGACGCUGAGACGCGAAAGCGUGGGGAGCAAACAGGAUUAGAUACCCCAGUAGUC